ACGGGGGGGGCAAGCGUUGUUCGGAAUUACUGGGCGUAAAGGGCUCGUAGGCGGCCAACUAAGUCGGAUGUGAAAUCCCCAGGCUCAACCUGGGAACUGCAUCCGAUACUGGAUGGCUUGAAUUCGGGAGAGGGAUGCAGAAUUCCAGGUGUAGCGGUGAAAUGCGUAGAUAUCUGGAGGAAUACCGGUGGCGAAGGCGGGUCUCUGGGCAGUAACUGACGCUGAGGAGCGAAAGCGUGGGGAGCGAACAGGA
rnacentral:rRNA from 1 species